UCCUGGUUUGCUCUCAACGUUAAAAGUGGUUGGAAUUAUUCUCCGUUCGAUUUCCUUCUGUAUCGUAUGUUGAGACCCUGAAAUGUCACAAGUCUGAAAACACAAGGAUAAUUUCGUAGUUAAAAAAAGAAGCUUUCUGACAAAUAAAACGCUUUGAGUGUACCUCAUCUAUCCCACUCUCCACACUCUGUCAGAGGAAUGAGUUUGUACUUUGGCGUCUUCUCCAUUAUUCGUCUGAUAUUAACCGUACAUUUACCACCCGUCAUGGCUCGGUCUUUUUCAGCCAGACCGGACUGUGACGAUAAAAUCUCAAGCAUAGAACUUUUAGCGGAACAUCAAGUUCCUUCGCUCUGUUCAUGCUCGGCUUUGUGUCAUGUUGAAUGCGGAUGCUUCGGAUUUAAUCCACAAGUGAGCAAGUGUCGGAUUCACUGGUCGUGUGACGUAGCUAAUAUGACAUCAUCUGAAGAUGGCUGGAGAUACUACAAAAUUGACCCUCGUCAAGAUUGCAAGGGUGUUCUGGAAUCCGGAAAGAACUCGUCAGGUUUUUACGUCAUUGAUCCUUUUGGAGGUCGACAACGUCUGGUUACUGUUUAUUGUGAUAUGGAAACGGACGGUGGAGGCUGGACGGCCAUUCAACGACGCCAAGGCGGCAGCGUGAACUUUAACAAAACAUGGACGGACUACAAGAACGGAUUUGGCGUACCCGAAGGCUCCUACUGGCUUGGUCAGCUCUGUUAUCCAUACAAAUUCUAAAAUAAAAACGCUUUAGUUUAAAUUCUGCAAGAAAUAAGAAUUACAAAAAAUCAAUACAAUUUUUUUUUUAAAGUAAGAUUUUCAAUUUUUUCAAGAAUAAAAAAUAAAAUAAUUUAGAAAGGACCAAACAUUUGUUAAAUAUCAUCUUUUACGUCGUUUGAAAAACACAUUUUAUGAUAAUUGUAGAAUACGUUUAGUUCGAUCUGUUUUGUAAAAAAAUAAAGUAAUACAUCUGAUAAAAAUGAAUGAGUAUGAUAAAGUUAGCGUUGGCUGACUACUGCUUCUAGUUCAUACUGUCAUUGUACUUCCUAAUAAUAAAUAGUGGUUGUAUAAAAUUAUUUUGGAAUCUGAUUUUUUAUUAUGUUUUUUUUUAUUAUUUUACAGGAAACGAUGUAAUCCACAAAUUGACAAAUCGACUGUUGAAUUCGCUGUAUGUUUAUUUUCGAUUCAACAACAAUAGCAUAUUUCUCCAGAAAUACGCCGAAUUUUCUGUCGGUGAAGAAUCUACAAACUACCAGCUUCACCUGGCGGGACCGACUACUGGAAGUUUAGGUGACCGUAUGAUUAACCCGGGUUCUUCGAACACAGAGCUGAAUGGUAUGUUGUUCAGUACUUUGGAUCGAGACAAUGACCGGUACAGUGGUCACUGCGCCACUAAGUACAGUGGGGGGUGGUGGUUCAACAACUGCCAUGACGCCUAUCUAAAUGGACCGUGGGCCCCUGAAAACUGGCACGACCCAUGGUUCCCAAUCAUAGCAGACGGCAUAAACAUAGCGGAAGUCCGAUUGAUGAUUAGACCGACAUAGAUGCAUUCUGAAAUGGAAUACAUUAAAUAUAAACUCACUGUCUCGUAAUUUGUUUUGAAUCUGUUAAUGAAAUAGUGAAU
rnacentral:misc_RNA from 1 species